GCGGACGUAGUCGUGGGCAACAGUUAGUGUAUUAUAAAACAAAGUCCCCAAAAGCGUAUGUGAUCGAUUCCCUCAAAAUCUACUGGACGGAUUUUCAUGCGGUUUCACCAAUGGAGAGAGGGCUUCAAGAGGAAGGUUUACGGAACGACUAAGCCGAUUUUGAUGAGAGUUUCACUGGAAGUUUGCCGGAAAAACUUUGUGACACACUAAUUUAGACGCGGGCGAAGCCGCGGGCACAGCUAGUUACUUAUA
rnacentral:misc_RNA from 1 species